GUAGGGAAUCUUCCACAAUGGACGCAAGUCUGAUGGAGCAACGCCGCGUGAGUGAAGAAGGCUUUCGGGUCGUAAAACUCUGUUAUUGAAGAAGAACGUGCGUGACAGUAACUGGUCAUGCAGUGACGGUAUUCAAUCAGAAAGUCGCGGCUAACUACGUGCCAGCAGCCGCGGUAAUACGUAGGUGGCAAGCGUUGUCCGGAUUUAUUGGGCGUAAAGCGAGUGCAGGCGGUCUUUUAAGUCUGAUGUGAAAGCCUUCGGCUUAACCGAAGAAGGGCAUCGGAAACUGGGAGACUUGAGUGCAGAAGAGG
rnacentral:rRNA from 1 species